AUGAAUGUGGUCCAUCAUUUUAAGCUCAAGCCUGCUUUCAAAAGCAUCUGGACCGCGCUGGCACGUAUUAACCACUACAAAUACCAAGCUUGGUCGGAGUUCAAAGUCAAGUUCAAGAGGCGCGUGUCCGCUUAUGUGGCUGAUUGGAAAGAUCCGAUCAACCUCGACUCAAAGGACCGGGCUCCUGGCUUAGGAGUUGAUGACACCGAACCAAAAGGCUGGGCCCAAAGAUACUGCGAGGUUAAAGACAAUAUCCUUCAGCUGUUAACUGCAAGAUGGUUCGGUGUCGGAUUUGGGAACCCUCAUUAG
rnacentral:rRNA from 1 species